AAUAAAUGCAGCUGUGAAUAUAUGUGCCCAAUAUUUGACCAUCCGUAUUAUUUAAAAACAUUUAGUCACACAUAAAGUACUAUUAAUGUUUUAUUAUAUAAUAGUAAUAAAAAUACUAAUCAUAAAAAAAAAUUAAAUAAGACGAACGGUCAAACGUUGAACGUGAAUAGUGUAAAACUGCACUUAUU
rfam:Oryza sativa Japonica Group DNA, chromosome 7, cultivar: Nipponbare, complete sequence.